rnacentral:rRNA from 1 species
UACGUAGGGUGCAAGCGUUGUCCGGAAUUAUUGGGCGUAAAGAGCUCGUAGGUGGCGGGUCACGUCGGGUGUGAAAGCCCGGGGCUUGACCCCGGGUCUGCAUUCGAUACGGGCUUGCUAGGGUCCGGCAGGGGAGACUGGAAUUCCUGGUGUAGCGGUGAAAUGCGCAGAUAUCAGGAGGAACACCGGUGGCGAAGGCGGGUCUCUGGGCCGGUACCGACGCUGAGGAGCGAAAGCGUGGGGAGCGAACAGG